rnacentral:lncRNA from 11 species
GUUCAGUUGGUGUUCCUUCCUGUGAAUUAGUCACAUGUUUUCCGGGGUUUCAAAUCCUGCCAGAAGAAUGAGCUCCGGCUGAGCAUACGCCUGUAAAACAAAGAUUAAACUAAAGAUAAUCUUUACAUGGUGCUCUUUGUUCUGAAGUGGUUUCCUGAAACGGUCUCCGGAGGGAUUGAUCAAAGAUGACAGCUCAGUAAAUCUCAGGGUACUGCUGAAUAUCUCUUUGCUUUGAGGAUAAGCUGUCAGGGAAUGCACAUCGGUGAUGGACAGUAGUGGACAGGGCCAGACAGAAAAAAAAGGUAUGCACAACCCC